AUGAACGCUAGCUACAGGCUUAACACAUGCAAGUCGAGGGGAAACGACAUCGAAAGCUUGCUUUUGAUGGGCGUCGACCGGCGCACGGGUGAGUAACGCGUAUCCAACCUGCCCACCACUUGGGGAUAACCUUGCGAAAGUAAGACUAAUACCCAAUGACGUCUCUAGAAGACAUCUGAAAGAGAUUAAAGAUUUAUCGGUGAUGGAUGGGGAUGCGUCUGAUUAGCUUGUUGGCGGGGUAACGGCCCACCAAGGCGACGAUCAGUAGGGGUUCUGAGAGGAAGGUCCCCCACAUUGGAACUGAGACACGGUCCAAACUCCUACGGGAGGCAGCAGUGAGGAAUAUUGGUCAAUGGACGAGAGUCUGAACCAGCCAAGUAGCGUGCAGGAAGACGGCCCUAUGGGUUGUAAACUGCUUUUAUAAGGGAAUAAAGUGAGAGUCGUGACUCUUUUUGCAUGUACCUUAUGAAUAAGGACCGGCUAAUUCCGUGCCAGCAGCCGCGGUAAUACGGAAGGUCCGGGCGUUAUCCGGAUUUAUUGGGUUUAAAGGGAGCGUAGGCCGGAGAUUAAGCGUGUUGUGAAAUGUAGACGCUCAACGUCUGCACUGCAGCGCGAACUGGUUUCCUUGAGUACGCACAAAGUGGGCGGAAUUCGUGGUGUAGCGGUGAAAUGCUUAGAUAUCACGAAGAACUCCGAUUGCGAAGGCAGCUCACUGGAGCGCAACUGACGCUGAAGCUCGAAAGUGCGGGUAUCGAACAGGAUUAGAUACCCUGGUAGUCCGCACGGUAAACGAUGGAUGCCCGCUGUUGGUCUGAAUAGGUCAGCGGCCAAGCGAAAGCAUUAAGCAUCCCACCUGGGGAGUACGCCGGCAACGGUGAAACUCAAAGGAAUUGACGGGGGCCCGCACAAGCGGUGGAGCAUGUGGUUUAAUUCGAUGGUACGCGAGGAACCUUACCUGGGUUUGACAUGCACGGUGAUACCGGGGAGAUCCGGGGGUCCAGCAAUGGAACCGUGCACAGGUGCUGCAUGGCUGUCGUCAGCUCGUGCCGUGAGGUGUCGGCUUAAGUGCCAUAACGAGCGCAACCCCUCUCCUUAGUUGCCAUCAGGUCAUGCUGGGCACUCUGGGGACACUGCCACCGUAAGGUGUGAGGAAGGUGGGGAUGACGUCAAAUCAGCACGGCCCUUACGUCCGGGGCUACACACGUGUUACAAUGGCAGGUACAGAGAGACGGUCCCUUGCAAAACGGAUCAAAUCCUUAAAGCCUGUCUCAGUUCGGACUGGGGUCUGCAACCCGACCCCACGAAGCUGGAUUCGCUAGUAAUCGCGCAUCAGCCAUGGCGCGGUGAAUACGUUCCCGGGCCUUGUACACACCGCCCGUCAAGCCAUGAAAGCCGGGGGCGCCUAAAGUCCGUGACCGUAAGGAGCGGCCUAGGGCGAAACUGGUAAUUGGGGCU
rnacentral:rRNA from 1 species